rnacentral:lncRNA from 1 species
CCUAAUUACUCUAAGAGGCCAAUAAACUUGACGAGGCAAUUUGUAAUGGAGGCUACACGGAUGAAGGAAUUGUGCGUGCCUUUAAUAUCUGCUAACACAAGAAGAAACAAAGUGUUAGAAAGCGUAAGAGAAACAAAAAAAACGUAGACCUGCAACGAUCCCUAACUCUAGAGUCAAAGAAAAGCUUUAAUAAGAAGAACACUUAAGAAAACUCUACCCAAUUUAAAAAAAAAAUCGGAAACGUUUGGUGUCUUAAGAUUUUCAAAAAUUGAAGCUUUAAUUAUACUUGAGUCAAGAAAAGAAGAAGGAAAAGAAAUUCAAUUUUGGGAAAAAUAAAAUAAAAAGAAUAACAAUAAUAGGAAAAGAAGAAACCUACGUAACUUUUUUUUUGCGGUUUUUUUGCGCUUUUUGCUUUUUUUUAAAGAAUAAGAGAAAAAAAAUCGACGAAACCGAUGAGAAGUGUUUUUGGUAUUUUAACUCAUUUCGGAUAUGAUUUUAGCUUCAAAAAUAACAUCGAAUGGCCUAAAACUGAUACCAACUGAUGCGGAAAUCUCGGAUCUAGACACAAGAGAAACACAAAUUAGAAAUAAAACGAGAAUAAAUAAAAUUAGUUAAAUAAUAAUAAUAAAAGGAUAGAUUUGCCCUAUGGAACCCUUGGUUAACUUGUAACCAAAAACGCCAAUGAUUGAGCGGCUCCCUACGAAACCCCUAGAAGAAGAACCUCUAGAAACACCGAUGAACGGGAAAGAAAUUUGAAUAUUUGUAACUCCGAAAUACCCUCAAAAGUAACAAACUCCAAACUAAAUAGCAAGAGAAGAAUCACUCUACUCUAAAAUAUUUGCCUCACACAAAUUUGGAAGAAAACAAAUACUCUCUUUUUAUUCCCCCUCCAAUGUGUAGAAAGCAAGCCUAUUUAUAGGCAAAUUACAAGAGUAAUUGAAUCCUAAUAAAACUCUUUCAAGAGUAAUUGAAUCCUAAUAAAAACUCUUUAAAAUUAUCUAAGAAAAUAAAUAAAUAAUAACCUAACCAAUAAAAUUACUUAACUCAUAAGUGAUGUGUCCCAACCAAUGAGAAUUAAGUAAAUAAUAAUAAUAAUAAUAAUAAUAAGAUACAUAAAAGAUUAAUCCACCAAUUCAUGGGCUUUCACUAUUCCAAGAUUGGUCCAGUGAAUUGCAUUCCCGUAUUUGUCAACGUCACGAACAUGAUGACUUAAAUUUGUAGCAACAAAGUUUUGGACAAAAGCAUUCAUCUUUGAUUUUAAUUGUCGUGCUUUGCUUCGAGUGAUUGGAUCACUAGGAAAAACAACCCCUUGAGUGUCACCUCCUUGGCUCGUAUCAAAAGCCAUUACGUUUCACAACACAGUGUGACACGUGACGAAAAAUGAUAAAAAUAAAAAUCAAUAAAAGUUAUAGAAAAAUUAUAAAAUGCUUCUUUUGGUACGAUAAUUUUAAUUUUUUUACUAAUUUUAUAUUUCUUUAUAUUUUUUAUAAUUUUCUUACAACUUUAUAAAAUUUUAUAUAUUUCUAUAUAUUUUAUAAUUUUUUACGAUUUUUAUAAAAUUUUACAAUUUUUUAAUUUUUAAUAAUAUUUUAACAUUUUUUAUUAAAAUUUACUAAUUUUUAUAACUUUUAUUGAAUUUUAUUUUUAGCAUUUUUUGCCACAUGUCACACUGUAGUUGUGACAUGUGGUGGUUUUAAAUGAAAAAAUUAAGGGCGGUUAGCUCUAACAGUCAACUAUUAAAGUUAACAAUCAAAAGACAUUUUUGAUGCAUUUUGACAGUUCAAGUACCCAAUUGAGUGCAAAAAAAACACAAAGAAAGGGUUUAAUUGAUUUUUUGGAAAAAGUUUGAGGGCCCUUUUUAGGCAUGUUCAAAGUUCAAGUACUAAAUUGAGUGCAAAAAAAGAAGAAGAAAAAAAGCAGUGACUUAAUUGCUUUUUUUGAAAACGUUUGAGGGUUUUUUACACCCUUAAAGCCAAUAAAAAAUUAACUAAUAAUAAUAAAAUUUAUGAUUAUGUUUAAAUUUAGAGUUUAGAAUUUUGGAAUUUAAAUUUUAGAACUUUAUGAUUUAUGGUUUAAGAUUGAGAUUAGAAUUUAGGGUUUUAUUUUUUAAGGUUUAUAACUUAAUAUUUAGUAUUUGAGGUUUAAAUUUUAGAAUUUAAUAUCAUGCUUAAUAUUUAGGAUUUAGAAUUGAUUAUAGUUUAGAAUUUAUAUACUUACACUUUGUUUGAUUUAAUGUAAUGGCAUAACUAUUACAACUCUAUUUCGCGGGCCCACUACAAACAACUGUUUGGUUCAGUGGAAUGCCCUAUUACGGGUUUAUUCUGUUAUAGGAUUAUGUAGGGAAAUGAUGUCAUUUCUAUUCCGUCUCCUCCCCACUGAUUACUGAUUCGGUGCUUGCCUUGUUUCCAUUUUACCCUUUCUCACCUAAAAAAUGCUCUCACUCAGUCAGACAACUACUACUUUGCUUCCUUCGACUCUGACCAUAACAACACUCCUCUUCAUCGCAGCGUUCUUCAGGUAAACAUUUUCUCCCUUCGUUCUUUUCCUUUUCCUCAUUGUCAUUUUUUUUGCCUUUUUUCUUUGCUCUUUUUAUGUUUUCUUUUUCUUUCUCUUAGUAGAGUUUUCAUAGCUGAGGUUUUCAUUUUCUUUUGCUUUGUUAAAUUUUUGGGUGUGUUUAGGAUUGGAAGACUCGAACUUGUCUUUUCUCAGACUAAGUUCGACAAAGGACUCUGCCUUGACCAUGGCUACAGUAAGUUUAUUGAUGCAUUGUCGAUGCAACUCUUGUUUUACCCAUGGCUUCAACCCAUCAUUAAAUCAGUAGAAUGCUUCUUUCCCACUCAAAUCAGAAAUUUAGAGCAUGAGUUUAUUAAACUCCCGCACAUGCUCCCUUAACCCUGUCUUGUUGCGUAAACUGAUGCAGCUUAGCCCGACCCUCAUCCUCAACAUAGUCAGGGUAAAACUACCCAUUGAAUUCACUUUGGAACUCCUCCCAAGUCCCAAUGGUAUCUCCAAACCGUUUCUCAACUAUGGACGUACAAUAACACAAUAAGAAAGCAACAUUAGUAAAAUACAUAGCAAUGAUAUUUACCUUAGUAUCAUCAUCCAUGAUCCUUUUGGCAUGAAAGUAUUGCUCCAUUCCUCACAAGAAGUUGUCCACAUCCUUUACAAACCUCGUCCCAUUAAACUCUUUUGGCUUCAGGACAUCUACCAUAGGCUUGGGUUCUGCAACCAACACCUCAUUACCCAAAGUAGGUUUAUAGAUAUUGAGGUACUAAAUUUUUUCCUUCAAGGCUGACACCAUGGUCUUGAGAGAAUUAUUCUUCUUAGUUAACUUCUCGAUCUGAUCAUCCAUAGCAACAUUAAGGGUAUUUCUCAUUGCAUCUUGAUUGGAAUUGAGAGCUUUCACUUUAUUAUCCCUAAGCUUCUCUCUUAUCAAGUCCAACUCAUCGGUGCGUCCCUCAAUUAUCUCGAGUGUUUCCUUCACACCACUUAUGGAUUCCUCGAGAUUGCUCACCCGACCUUCCAAAGCCGAUAACAUAUCAUUCGAUAUGCUAUUUUCUUGGUCUUCUCAUGGGUCUCCAUCGAGACAUUUUGUUCGUCUACUUAUUGAGCUACUAAAUUUGUUCAUUCAAGGUUGGCACCAUGGUCUUGAGAAAAUCAUUCUUCUUAGUCAACUUCUCGGUCUAAUCAUCUAUGGCAGCAUUGAGGGUCUCUCUCAUUGCAUCUUGAUUGGAACUGAGAGCCUUCACUACGUAGUCCCUAAGUUGCUCUCUCAUCGAGUUCAACUCAUCGGUGCGCCCCUCAAUUACCUCGAGCGUUUCCUUCACACCACCCAUGGAUUCCUCGAGAUUGGUCACUCGCCCUUCCAAAUUCGACAACAUAUCCUUCGAUUUGCUAUUUUUCUAGUCUUCCCAUGUGAUAGAGUGUUGCGCGUGGACCAAGAUCGAGUUGCCAAGUCACGGGAAAAGUCUUACAAAAACUAUCGACAUUUAGCUCUGAAACGAAAACAGAAAAUUAAACUUAAAAGACCAAGAAAACCAAAUUGAAAUAGAAUGAUACUUGGGCGGCAAGAAAGGAUGAAUAAAGAACGUUUCUUGAUGCCAAAGAAUGUUGCAAAACAGAUCCUUGAAGCUUGGAAUGGUUGGAAACGCAACAAGAACAAUUAAACCAAGUUAAUCAACAAUUCGACACAAACAAAAAUAAUUAAAAAAGAACAAACAGCAAAAAAGAUGGAUAAAGUCCUAAGAAGCCUUGAAAUCAAGAAAGAUUUCACAACUCCCUUCAAACGACUCUAAUCUUCCCUCCAAUGUAAAAACACGGCAAGAAGAAGGUUGAAGAUGGCUCCCAUAAUCAAAAAGAUUGUUAAAACUACUUCUAAAGAAAACUCAAGAGAGAAUUCUUGGAGAAACUCAAAGAGAGUUUUCACUCCACAAAAAAAAUUUGAAUUCAAUAUAUCAUCUAUAAGGGUGGCCGGCCAAGCCAUAUAUAUAGGCCUCCUAACUACUUUCCUAUCCCUACUAGGAAAACUAAAAAAACCCUAAUUUUUGCCUUUCAAGGGAAUUUCGUCCAAGGCCUUUAAAUGGGCCUCUUGGACUGAAUUCUUACAUAGAAAUUUAUUCAUAAAGUCUAAAAAUUAAAACUAAGUAUUUAAAGAAUUAAAAUUUUACAAAUCGGGCCACUUUGACAAUUUGGCCUGAUUUUCAACUAAGUCUAAUUUAAACUUCUUGGUUGGGCUUGGAACAUCUUAUUGGGUCGUAUCUUCAAUAACUUGGGCUUGUAAUCCGUUCUCUCCCGAAAUUGGUUCGUUGAUGCUCGUAACUGAGAUCCAAUGCGCCUUAGUUGCAAGAUUCAGUUUCUUGGACCAAGAUUUCCAAGAUUUGAAAUCUUGAUUUUCUUGAUUCUUGAAAUCGCUCAAAACAACAAAAUUGGACAAAGAUUCGGUUUCUUGAUUUUCUUGAAAACAAGAAAGUGAAUCUUGAUUUUCUUUUUCCUUUGUAUACACAUCUAAGGCCUUGCUAAUGAAGUCUUGAACGGUUCCAUUUAGUUUCAUACGCAUUUGCCUGACCUUUGACCUCGUUAUUGGGCCUUGUGGUAAUUUGAGCCCAUCACGUUCUUGAGCUUGAGUUGGGCCUUUGUGACUCGUAUCACCAUGGGUCUCCAUCGAGACAUUUUGUUCAUCUACUUCUUUCGUCAUCUUAACCGGUGGCUUUUUACACUAGCUAAGUUACCAAUUGUCACAGGGCUAGAACUUAAGUUUGGCAAAUCACGCGACCUUAGGCAAUGUCUUUGCUUCAAAUUUGCCUAAGUCAGCCUUACUCUCAAAAAUAAGAAAUUCAGAAAGGAAAAUGCACUAAAAUAAAGCGGAAGCAAACUCACAAAUGAAGAAGCAAAAAGAGAACAAAAAAGCCAUAAGAAAACUAAGAAAACCAAGUGUUUGAGUAAAUACUCUCAAAAUAUAUUCAAUAACUUUUUUUUGAUCAAGUAUAUUCAAUAACUUUGAAUGGAAUACAAUGGGAUGAUUACAAAUGAGGGGGAAACCCUCUAUUUAUAGUUGAGCUCCCCCAUAUCCAAUGGUGCAGAUUGAAUUACAUCAACGAUUGAGAUUAGUGUCUGUCUACAAGAUGAAAGUCCUAAGGGAUUUAAACUCUAUACAUCUUUAUCCCUUAGGAUUUACAAUAAUUGCCUUGGUAACUCUAGUUUUACUAGAGUGUUUCACUGGCCAGUUUCAAGUGGAUCAAAUGAGCCCCAUUUAAUCAAUUGACCUUCAUGAGAAGCUCUGUGUGCAUUCGUCACGGGCUUUGAUCCGCGGCCCGUGACAUAAGAAUAAACUCAUAAUUAAUUAAAUAAUAAUUUCUAAUCUUGUGGUGAUUAAUAUUAAGUUUCAAUCAUAUUUAUUGUUGACACAUUUAUAAAAUUUUAUAAAAAAAUUUUAAUUAGUGUAUAUUUUUUAUAAGAAAAAAAGAGAAGGGUUCAAAUUGACAAAAGUUGUAAAGGUUGAGUGGCUAAAUUAGUGAUUGUACCUAAUUUUUUAACAAAGUUAAUGAAAAAAAAUUAAUGAAGGGACUGGAAAUGAGCAAAUAAAAAAAAUAGAGAGACUAAUUUUGAGCAAAUAAAAGUAGAGGGAUUAAAUCCGCACAAAUUGAUAAGUACAUAGACUAUCAUCAAAAUUUAACCUAUAGUCUAAUAUGGUUCAAAAUUUAAUUAAGUGAUAAUAAUUGUAACACUAAUAAUAAAAAGUUAUUAAUAAAUUUAAUUUAUAUUUUAUAUAAAAAGUUAAAAAUAAUUAUAAUUAUUUUAUUUUAUAUUAAUAUUUUUAUCAUAUUUAUUUAAAAGAAACAUGAGAGUAAAAAGGUACCUACACGAUCAAAUUAAUUGUUGUUAUUUCUUGUAAUAAUUAAUGGUAUGCGUAAUACCUAUAUAUAAUUUAUCUAAGACGAUUUUAUUAUUUUUAAUUUAUUUAAUUAUAUUCAAUGAAUUAAUAAUUAAUUAAUAUUACCUUUGUUAUUAUUCCAAUAAUAUAUUAAUAAAUUGUUAUUAUAUCAAUUUAAUAAUAUAAUAAAUGAUAAAAAAUAUUAUCAUUAAUUCAAACUUUCUUCUCAACUCAUCUUUUUACGUAAGUUAUAAGGUUAAUAUUAAUUGGUAAUUAGGAUUUGGGGUUUAAAGUAAUAUUUUUUAAUCAAAAUUAAAUCAAAUCAAAUCAUUGCAAAACCUAAGGAAGAAAGAAUCACAUAAAAUUCAUACAUAAUAUACACAUAAUUACAAUAAAAGCUAAACAAGAAACGAAUACGAUACUCUUACCCAAUAAUGCAAAACCUUCAUUGGCUUCUGGUUCCCUAGAAUUUGUUUAGUGUUUAUGAAUGUAUGAUGUUAUUCAAGAAAUCAUUAAAAAAAAGGAGUGAAGUGACAGUUGUAAUCUGUGCUUAGAGAUCAAAAUGUAUUGGUCCCUUUGCCUUGUUGGGUGGUGGGACCAUGCUUCAAGUAUCAACACUUUCAACUAAUUGAUACGAGCUCAAUUGUUGUUGCUUCGAGUCGUAUUAGUUUGUCCAAUCAUGAAUUUGGGGUAAAACUUGGUUCGUUUCAUGAGGGAUGGAAAAAAUAGAAGGUAGGCUUCAAAUAAGGUUUAAAAGGAAGCUGGUUAAACAAAGGAAUGGAUAAUUUGGCCAAACCCAGAGAAUGAACCAAAAAUAGAGUGAUUGUUGGCCUGAGUCUCAAAGUAGCUCUUUGGUGAAUUUCGAUUUAGAAAAUCAACAAAGAACCUUGACUCGUUAUUAAAUGUGAUAGGAACCAAAGGUAUAUGAACGCCACACUAGAAAUGAUAAGUUCGGGUUAACAAAGGAAAGAAUGACGCCACAAGACAACUUGAUAAGUCAAUUCAGUCCCGAAAAAAACAAGGAGAAUUGGAAAUCUCACAAGUUUCAAUUGAUUCAUAAAAUUGGUAAAAAGUCCCUACAACAAGAAAUUAGCUAAGUAUUUAUAGCUAGAAAUCUAUGCUAGCCGAAUAGACACAUGGGCAACUAAAUGGACAAAUGUUUUCAGCUUUAAUGAGCUGAAACUUCUUGGAAAGUUCCUAGCAGCUUCCUUGAAGUUUCCUUGAGCAUGGAGGACGUCAAUAGUUAGCUUCUAGAUGCCUUGAUUCAGCUGAAAAUUAAUGAAGUGAUUGAGAGCUGAAUUGACUUAAUUAGGUUCGGCCCAAGGGUAUGAACCAUC